rnacentral:snoRNA from 1 species
GCUGCCCCAACAGGCAUUGCAGGUGUGGCUGGUGUGUCACAGGUGAUAGAGAGGAAAGAGGCUAUGUCCACACUCAGUGUUCUCACCUGUGAACAUUUGAAUGCAUAGUGGCCUAACAUU